rnacentral:rRNA from 1 species
UCAAGUAAUUAAGUGCAUGUGGUGGAUGCCUUGGCAGUCAGAGGCGAUGAAAGACGUGAUAGCCUGCGAAAAGCUCCGGGGAGGCGGCAAAUAUCCUUUGAUCCGGAGAUGUCUGAAUGGGGGAACCCACCUACUUUAAGGUAGGUAUUGCAACAUGAAUACAUAGUGUUGCAAGGCGAACGAGGGGAAGUGAAACAUCUCAGUACCCUUAGGAAAAGAAAUCAAUUGAGAUUCCCUCAGUAGCGGCGAGCGAACGGGGAUCAGCCCAUUAAGUUAUGUGUGUUUUAGUGGAACGCUCUGGGAAGUGCGAACGUAGAGGGUGAUAUUCCCGUACACGAAAGGGCACACAUAAUGAUGACGAGUAGGGCGAGGCACGUGAAACCUUGUCUGAAUAUGGGGGGACCAUCCUCCAAGGCUAAAUACUCCUGACUGACCGAUAGUGAACCAGUACCGUGAGGGAAAGGCGAAAAGAACCCCUGUGAGGGGAGUGAAAUAGAUCCUGAAACCGCAUGCAUACAAGCAGUGGGAGCACCUUCGUGGUGUGACUGCGUACCUUUUGUAUAAUGGGUCAGCGACUUAUAUUCAGUAGCAAGGUUAACCGUAUAGGGGAGCCGUAGAGAAAUCGAGUCUUAAUAGGGCGUUUAGUUGCUGGGUAUAGACCCGAAACCAGGCGAUCUAUCCAUGAGCAGGUUGAAGGUUGGGUAACACUAACUGGAGGACCGAACCCACUGUCGUUGAAAAGCCAGGGGAUGACUUGUGGAUAGGGGUGAAAGGCUAAUCAAGCCUGGUGAUAGCUGGUUCUCCCCGAAAGCUAUUUAGGUAGCGCCUCGGACGAAUACCAUAGGGGGUAGAGCACUGUUUCGGCUAGGGGGUCAUCCCGACUUACCAAACCGAUGCAAACUCCGAAUACCUAUGAGUACUAUCCGGGAGACAGACUGCGGGUGCUAACGUCCGUAGUCAAGAGGAAAACAAUCCAGACCGCCAGCUAAGGCCCCAAAAUCAUAGUUAAGUGGGAAACGAUGUGGGAAGGCAUAGACAGCUAGGAGGUUGGCUUAGAAGCAGCCACCCUUUAAAGAAAGCGUAAUAGCUCACUAGUCGAGUCGGCCUGCGCGGAAGAUGUAACGGGGCUAAAACUAUGUGCCGAAGCUGCGGAUGUAUACUUUGUAUACGUGGUAGGGGAGCGUUCUGUAAGCCGAUGAAGGUGUGUUGAGAAGCAUGCUGGAGGUAUCAGAAGUGCGAAUGCUGACGUGAGUAACGACAAAACGGGUGAAAAACCCGUUCGCCGAAAGACCAAGGGUUCCAGUCCAACGUUAAUCGGGGCUGGGUGAGUCGACCCCUAAGGCGAGGCCGAAAGGCGUAGUCGAUGGGAAAAUGGUUAAUAUUCCAUUACUUCUGUGUAAUGCGAUGAGAGGACGGAGAAGGCUAAAUCAGCCUGGCGUUGGUUGUCCAGGUGAAAGGAUGUAGGCAUGUAUCUUAGGCAAAUCCGGGGUACUCUAUGCUGAGAUCUGAUAGCAAGCUGUACUUGUACAGCGAAGUGGUUGAUGCCAUGCUUCCAGGAAAAGUCUCUAAGCUUCAGUUACACAGGAAUCGUACCCGAAACCGACACAGGUGGUCAGGUCGAGUAGACCAAGGCGCUUGAGAGAACUCUGCUGAAGGAACUAGGCAAAAUGGUACCGUAACUUCGGGAGAAGGUACGCUGUUGUUGGUGAUGGAACUUGCUUCCUGAGCUGACGACAGCCGCAGAAACCAGGCCGCUGCAACUGUUUAUUAAAAACAUAGCACUCUGCAAACACGAAAGUGGACGUAUAGGGUGUGAUGCCUGCCCGGUGCUGGAAGGUUAAUUGAUGGGGUUAGCGUAAGCGAAGCUCUUGAUCGAAGCCCCAGUAAACGGCGGCCGUAACUAUAACGGUCCUAAGGUAGCGAAAUUCCUUGUCGGGUAAGUUCCGACCUGCACGAAUGGCAUAAUGAUGGCGGCGCUGUCUCCAGCAGAGGCUCAGUGAAAUCGAAAUCGCUGUGAAGAUGCAGUGUACCCGCGGCUAGACGGAAAGACCCCGUGAACCUUUACUGCAGCUUGACACUGAACUUUGACCUUACUUGUGUAGGAUAGGUGGGAGGCUUUGAAGCUGGAACGCUAGUUCCAGUGGAGCCGUCCUUGAAAUACCACCCUGGUAAUGUUGAGGUUCUAACUCUGUCCCGUGAUCCGGGACGAGGACCGUGUCUGGUGGGUAGUUUGACUGGGGCGGUCUCCUCCUAAAGAGUAACGGAGGAGUACGAAGGUGCGCUCAGCGUGGUCGGAAAUCACGCGUAGAGUAUAAAGGCAAAAGCGCGCUUAACUGCGAGACCCACAAGUCGAGCAGGUACGAAAGUAGGUCUUAGUGAUCCGGUGGUUCUGUAUGGAAGGGCCAUCGCUCAACGGAUAAAAGGUACUCUGGGGAUAACAGGCUGAUACCGCCCAAGAGUUCAUAUCGACGGCGGUGUUUGGCACCUCGAUGUCGGCUCAUCUCAUCCUGGGGCUGAAGCAGGUCCCAAGGGUAUGGCUGUUCGCCAUUUAAAGAGGUACGCGAGCUGGGUUUAGAACGUCGUGAGACAGUUCGGUCCCUAUCUACCGUGGGCGCUGGAAAUUUGAGAGGAUCUGCUCCUAGUACGAGAGGACCAGAGUGGACGAACCUCUGGUGUACCGGUUGUGACGCCAGUCGCAUCGCCGGGUAGCUAUGUUCGGAAGGGAUAACCGCUGAAAGCAUCUAAGCGGGAAGCCUACCUCAAGAUAAGAUUUCCCUAGGACUUUAUGUCCUCUAAAGAGCCGUUCGAGACUAGGACGUUGAUAGGUUGGAUGUGGAAGCAUAGUGAUAUGUGAAGCUGACCAAUACUAAUUGCUCGUGAGGCUUGACUA